rnacentral:tRNA from 2 species
GCCGAUGUAGCUCAGUUGGUAGAGCAACGCAUUCGUAAUGCGUGGGUCAGCGGUUCGAAUCCGCUCAUCGGCU